rnacentral:tRNA from 1 species
GGGGUUGUGGCUCAGGGGUAGAGCGCUUGCCUAGUGUGCGUGAGACUCAGGGUUCGAUCCCGGAAACCACA